AUGCGCAGUAAGUCGUUUAUAUCCAGACAAGGCUGGAUGUCGGCGCCAUCUUUGUUUCGCCGCGCCGCUCUCUACAUCCUGUAGUGCUGCUGACAGGAUGGGGAGGGAAGAGCAGAUGGCUGUUAUCCGUGGAGGAGGGGAACGCAGAAGCCAAAGAAACACCAAGUACAGACAAAGACAUAUAGAUAAGAGCUACCAGCUGAGAAGGACACCCAGAUCCUAAAGUAAGACAAAUGCCAUCUUCACUGAAACUGUGACCUGUGACCCACCAAGACUGGUAUCUGCAAGUUCAGGUGUGGAUGAAGGUUAAGGAGAAGCAUUAACUCUUUGGACUGAGAGGACUCCUUUCUAUGAUCCAGAUCAAGCCAGGCGAUGCACUUACUGAGUGCCUACGGUAUACCUCACCAUGCACUUACAUGUUCUCAUUAAAAUACUUUUCAGCUAUAUUCUUCUGAAAUAAAGUAGACACCAGUUUUCUUUGAGAACUCGAAUCUGGCUUUGGAAGGUGCAGG
ensembl:lncRNA